GGAAGUUAUGCUUACACACAGCCAUGUCUGUCUGAACUUGUUAGGUUUAAAUCAACAUUAGUCGGCACUGAAAGCUCAUGAAGAAAAAACUAGAGUCUGCAGAGGAUUUUCCCACUGCUUCUCUCCUGCUUGUGCAAUCUCUGAAGGAAGUGAGGGCUGGAGGGGCUGUGAAUUUCCAGAAGCAAGGCUUGUGACAUUGCCUAUGUCGGGGGUCACAGGAGACAGGUGUGGUAUGGACAAGAAGAUGGACAGCAGAUCCUUGUGGUGCCUGUGUGUUUGGCAUGGAUUUGAAGGUGUUUGGGAAAGGGAGGAAAGAAGAAAAAUGUUUGAAGAAGGAAGGACGGGACCCUCGAUUUGGAAAUUAAAGUAUUCUAGGCCUGGACGCUGUGAGGAGACCAGCAUGAGCCAAGAGGACCACAGCAGCAAAUACCAAUACCCACCCACCCACCAAAAACCAAUAUCUCAUCCCUCCACUGGGCCCACAACAGUCUCCCACCUGCAGAGCUGUCAAAUUCCUGCCAGAUCAAGGUGUCCAAACCAAGCUGAAGAAUGACAUUUCAAGUAUUUUCUGAAGGAAGGGAAGGGAAGGAGGAAGGAAGGGCUGUGCAGUAAGUGACUGUUCUCACAGCUGUGAUCACGAGCCAUUGUCAUUCAAGUGCCCACCUUGUCUUGCUGUGUACUCAUUGUCUUCUAUCAAUCGGGCCAAUCCGAAGUCAGCAAUCUUGCAUAUGAGUCCAUUCCCCACUAGAAUGUUUGCUGAUCGCAGAUCUCUAUGGAUAUAAUUCAUGCGCUCGAUGUAAGCCAUUCCUGCAGCCACCUGUGGAAACCCAGGGAACAGGACAUGUUACACCACGACCCAAUGUACUUAGACACGUCAUUAAAUCUAUGGCACAUCAAGUUACCCUGCAGGGCCUACCUGUGCUGCCAUGUCCACAAGAUUUGGUACCUACAAACAUCCCAGAAUAUGAAGUCAAACCAAAGAUCUUCUUUUGAUGGAAAAAGGUUUUGACCACCAGCUAUUUGCAUAAGAUUAGAUUUUAAAUUUAAAACACUUAAUACAGUUUUUGUUGAACAAAGACAUUCAAUUGCAAGGACUCUGUCAAGUAUUUUAACAGAAAAAAUGAGUUUAUUUGUGGUUAUGGCUAAGAUGGCUAUAUUAAGAUUUAUAACUCAUUAAAAUUUUUUUAAAUUUUGAUAUAUUACCACUCUCUCUUUUUUUGGCUCAGUCAUAUGAUUACACAUUUAUACCAAAAGCUCUGCACCAUACAGUGAUGAAAGUCCAGGGGUUGGAACAGGCCUGGCCAUCUAAUAGCUGUCCCUUAGGGAGUACAGUGUGCAUGGAAGAAAUUAGAUUAUUUAAGUUUAUGGGGUGUGCCAUUUAAAAAUAUGGCACCACAUGAGGAUGUCUGGAAAUUACCUCUAGACUUUCAAUGUCUGCAAUGGACAAGUUACUUGACUGAGUCCUUGCACAGGUGUGCCAAGCAUGCUGAUAAGCACUGGCAAGGAGCUCACAGUCUGCUUGCCAAUACUUCAACAAGGUAAGGCAAAUUUCCUCAGCUUUACUGAUGGCUAGCCACAAGAACAAUGGCUUCUGUCAGGUAGGUAGACAGGGGAAAUUAAACAGCAGCUGAGAGGGAACAGAAAUAUUUAAAUUUAGCAUGUUAAAAAAAAAUCUAGCAAAUCUGAAGGCAAGGCCUGGAUUAUGAUUGUCCUCAGUUACCUCAUCUGUAAAAUAUAGGAAUGGAACUGGAUUAUCUUUUGGGUCUCUUUCAGCCCCAGCAUUCAAAAAACAAAACCAUACCUAGGUUCUUUGUGUAUUCCAUUAUUAGACCUAUGAUGCUUAAGAAUAACUUUAUAAAGGGGAAGAAAUCUGCUAAUUUAGAUUAUUUUCUAUUUGAAAAAGAAGACUGGUUUAAAUUAAGAUUUUUAUAUUUAAUAUAACUGACUUUGGAAUUUAAGGAUUCUGUAAAUUGGAGUUCUUAUUAUCCUGUUAAAGACAUGGUUCAUACAAUUACAACAUGCAACCUACAAAAUAUAAAUUA
rnacentral:lncRNA from 1 species